rnacentral:rRNA from 1 species
AUUGAACGCUGGCGGCAGGCUUAACACAUGCAAGUCGAACGAGUCGCGGGCGGGUGAGUAAUGUGGGGGACUCCCCCCUAUGGAGGGGUAUCACUACGGGAAACUGUAUAUAAUACCGCAUUCUAUACGAUGAGCCCAUGUGGGAUUAGGGAGUUGGUGAGGUAAAGGCUCACCAACCCGACGAUCUCUAGCUGGUCUGAGAGUAGUACCAGCCACACUGGUACUGAGACACGGCCCAGACUCCUACGGGAGGCAGCAGUGGGGAAUAUUGCGCAAUGGGGGCAGUCCUGACGCAGCCAUGCCGCGUGUAUGAAGAAGGCCUUAGGGGUGUAAAGUUCUUUCAGUGGGGAGGCGUUACCUACAGAAGAAGCACCGGCUAACUCCGUGCCAGCCGACGCGGUAAUAC